rnacentral:lncRNA from 1 species
CCCAGGGCCAACUCUGGCUAUAGUAGGGGCCCGUCAGUCAGGCCUCGGCCUGGGAUUAGCCCAACUCUAUUGAGCCAAUGCUGGGAGUGACAAUGCCGCCCUUACCCUCACAUGCCCUCAGACCCAGGACCAAUCACUAACUAGAUGCACUGUUUCUCAAGGUGAGACUGGAGAGAGGGUCACUCCAGCAGAAAAAAUGUAACUACUUUAGAAUCUGUUGAUGUUAGACGUAGAACAACUACCCUAGAAUCUGUUGGUGUUACACGUAGAACAACUACUCUACAAUCUGUUGAUGUUAGACAUAGAACAACUACUCUACAAUAUGUUGAUAUUAGACAUAGAACAACUACUCUAGAAUCUGUUGAUGUUAAACGUAGAAUAACUACUCUACAAUCUGUUGAUGUUAGACGUAGAACAACUACUCUACAAUCUGUUGAUGUUAGACAUAGAACAACUACUCUACAAUAUGUUGAUGUUAGACGCAGAACAACUACUCUACAAUAUGUUGAUGUUCGACAUAGAACAACUACUCUAGAAUCUGUUGGGGUUAGACAUAGAACAACUACUCUACAAUAUGUUGAUCUUAGACGUAGAACAACUACCCUAGAAUCUGUUGGUGUUAGACAUAGAACAACUACUCUACAAUAUGUUGAUGUUCGACAUAGAACAACUACUCUAGAAUCUGUUGGGGUUAGACAUAGAACAACUACUCUACAAUAUGUUGAUGUUAGACGUAGAACAACUACCCUAGAAUCUGUUGGUGUUAGACGUAGAACAACUACCCUAGAAUCUGUUGGUGUUAGACGUAGAACAACUACUCUACAAUCUGUUGAUGUUAGACGCAGAACAACUACUCUACAAUAUGUUGGUGUUCGACAUAGAACAACUACUCUACAAUAUGUUGAUGUUAGACGUAGAACAACUACUCUAGAAUCUUUUGAUAUUAGACAUAGAACAACUACUCUACAAUAUGUUGAUGUUAGACGUAGAACAAUUACUCUACAAUUUGUUGAUGUUAGACGCAGAACAACUCCUCUACACUAUGUUGGUGUUAGACAUAGAACAACUACUCUACAAUAUGUUGGUGUUCGACAUAGAACAACUACUCUACAAUAUGUUGAUAUUAGACAUAGAACAACUACUCUUCAAUCUGUCAAUGUUAGAACAACUACUCUAAAAUCUGUUGAUAUUAGACAUAGAACAACUACCCUACAAUCUGUUGGUGUUAGACAUAGAACAACUACCCUAGAAUCUGUUGGUGUUAGACGUAGAACAACUACCCUAGAAUCUGUUGGUGUUAGAUGUAGAACAACUACUCUACAAUCUGUUGAAGUUAGACGUAGAACAACUACUGUAGAAUCUGUUGAUAUUAGACAUAGAACAACUACUCUACAAUAUGUUGAUGUUAGACGUAGAACAACUACCCUAGAAUCUGUUGGUGUUAGACAUAGAACAACUACUCUACAAUAUGUUGAUGUUAGACGUAGAACAACUACCCUAGAAUCUGUUGGUGUUAGACAUAGAACAACUACUCUACAAUAUGUUGAUGUUAGACGUAGAACAACUACCCUAGAAUCUGUUGGUGUUAGACAUAGAACAACUAUUCUAAAAUAUGUUGAUGUUAGACGUAGAACAACUACCCUAGAAUCAGUUGGUGUUAUACAUAGAACAACUACUCUACAAUAUGUUGAUGUUAGACGUAGAACAACUACCCUAGAAUCUGUUGGUGUUAGACGUAGAACAACUACCUUAGAAUCUGUUGGUGUUAGAAGUAGAACAACUACUCUACAAUCUGUUGAUGUUAGAUGCAGAACAACUACUCUACAAUAUGUUGGUGUUAGACGUAGAACAACUCCUCUAGAAUCUGUUGAUAUUAGACAUAGAACAACUACUCUACAAUAUGUUGAUGUUAGACGUAGAACAAUUACUCUACAAUUUGUUGAUGUUAGACGCAGAACAACUCCUCUACACUAUGUUGGUGUUAGACGUAGAACAACUACUCUACAAUCUGUUGAUGUUAGACGUAGAACAACUACUCUACAAUCUGUUGAUGUUAGACGUAGAACAACUACUCUAGAAUCUGUUGGUGUAAGACAUAGAACAACUACUCUACAAUAUGUUGAUGUUAGACGUAGAACAACUACCCUAUAAUCUGUUGGUGUUAGACAUAGAACUUUGUAGUUAGUGAACAAUAUGAGCAAUGUGAUCUCAAGAGGUCCUCAUUGCCAACCGUUAUAUGAUUCCAACAUUGUAAAACAUUCAACAAAGGCAAUUUUCUCGUCUCCGCUCGUGAAAACUAUGAACACAUGAGUCUUCAUUGUGAUCUUGUGUGCUAGACAGAUCAGAGUGUGACUUGGAGAAUACGAGUAUGCUUUAACUGGUAAAGAGAAAGAGAGCACUUCCAUAUCCAAUUGUCCUCCCUUUUAUGUUUUUUAAAUGGACUUUCUCUACGAAACCCAUUUUUUCCGUAAUGUACCAUACACUUGUUGUUUCAGAGGUCAGAUUGUAUUGGUAACCCUUAUAAACCCACCUUUAUAUUGGUGGGAGGUUUGGGUGCAUGGGUGGGUUGGUAGUUUGAAAGGAAGAGACUGGUGUUUGGAGUAGAGAAAAAUAGAGGGACUCUAUAAUAGUUGUGCACAUUA